GAUGAAGAACGUAGUAAAAUGCGAUAAGUAAUGUGAAUUGCAGAAUUCAGUGAAUCAUCGAAUCUUUGAACGCACAUUGCGCCCGCCAGUAUUCUGGCGGGCAUGCCUGUUCGAGCGUCAUUACAACCCUCAGGCCCCCGGGCCUGGCGUUGGGGAUCGGCGGAGCCCCCCGUGGGCACACGCCGUCCCCCAAAUACAGUGGCGGUCCCGCCGCAGCUUCCAUCGCGUAGUAGCUAACACCUCGCGACUGGAGAGCGGCGCGGCCACGCCGUAAAACACCCAACUCUUCUGAAGUUGACCUCGAAUCAGGUAGGAAUACCCGCUGAACUUAAGCAUAUCAAUAAGCGGAGGA
rnacentral:misc_RNA from 1 species